CCGAAGCCCUAGCUGAUUUUUAGGAAUAUUGCAAGGGUUUGGAUCUUGCUAGAACUUUUCAGUUUCCAACAUUGAGACAGCCACCUCCAUCCUUUCUUGCAACAAUGGAGGAGUAUAUAAAGGAAGCGCCGCAGUCCGGUUCUGUUAACAAGAGACUGGAAUACCAGGAGACAGACCAGCAGCCUCAGAAACCUGAAGAACCUCCUCCUCCUCCAGAGCCUGAAAAACAAGAAGAAGAAGUUGAGGAGAAAACGGAGGAAGAGGAAGA